GAGUCGUUGGCAGCAGUCACCAGGGAGUUCCAACCACCAACGGAGUGGUUGGAUAAAGGCAGUUGGCCGUUGGUUUGAUUCGGGGUGUGUGCGCGCCCAUCUACUUACAUACACAACAUAUUGGCGACGAAGAAUUACUUUUCUUGGGAUUCCACAACCUCCUGCUUUCCUCGACACUCCUGGGGUUAAGGGAGAAUCCUCCUCACGUGUAAUGGCCAAGUGGACCGAAGAAAUGGAGGAGCAGCUGAUUGCACUGGUGGAAGAGAGACCACCGUUGUACAACAUCACGCUACAGGGCUAUUCCAAACGGAAUAGGAAGGAUCAACUGUGGCGUGAGAUCGAAAGCGAGCUCCAUCUAUCAGGCAAAGAAGUUCGUAGGAAAUGGGAUAACCUCCGUACGACCUACAAUCGCUUUAAAAAAACGGGCCCGAGGACGACGAGACAACAGUGGACCCUCGAUCGGAUGCAGUUCAUUGAGCCACACACCAAGAGGAAGGAGAACACCUCCAACCUCAAUCGCAGGGUGAUAAAAUGAAUUGUGUGAGGCUGGGGCGCCUGAGGGGGCGAGCAUGGUGACCGAUUCCUCUCUGGAGGGCAAUGGCAGCACACUACCAGAGGAGACCGAGUUGGACAUCCCGCUGGCUGGCUCCCCGAUUGCAGAGUCGGCCAUCUGUGCUUUUCUUGGAAAUUCACAACCUGCUGCUUUACUGGACACUCGUGGCUCGGAAAGAUUCGAUAAUGCUUGAAUAAUGGCAGCCAACUGUUUAGGAAAUUAGAACUGUGGAUUUACAAAUCAUGGCCCAAAUAACAAGAAUAAAAGUUAUAGCACAAAUUAAAUAAAAGGCUUUACUAAUUUCCGUUUAUAAUAACUCAUAAUACCUGACACAUGGGAACUCCAAGGCUUUAACAUUUUUUAAUUGCUUUCUAUGUUAUUCACUUUGGCAGAUAGAUAUUAAAGUUGACAACAGUCAGUAUGUUUCCUGAUACCUUCGUUUUGCACGCAAACAGAUUUUAUUGUCCAGGCCUU
ensembl:lncRNA